rnacentral:rRNA from 1 species
GUGAGGAAUAUUGGUCAAUGGGCGGGAGCCUGAUCCAGCCAAGUCGCGUGAAGGAAGAAGGAUCUAUGGUUCGUAAACUUCUUUUGCAGGGGAAUAAAGUGCAGGACGUGUCCUGUUUUGUAUGUACCCUGAGAAUAAGGAUCGGCUAACUCCGUGCCAGCAGCCGCGGUAAUACGGAGGAUCCGAGCGUUAUCCGGAUUUAUUGGGUUUAAAGGGUGCGUAGGUGGUUUGAUAAGUCAGCGGUGAAAGUUUGCAGCUUAACUGUAAAAAUGCCGUUGAAACUGUCGGACUUGAGUGUAAAUGAGGUAGGCGGAAUGCGUGGUGUAGCGGUGAAAUGCAUAGAUAUCACGCAGAACUCCGAUUGCGAAGGCAGCUUACUAAGCUACAACUGACACUGAAGCACGAAAGCGUGGGGAUCAAACAGGAUUAGAAACCCGGGUAGUCC